GAGGAGGUAGCCAACACUGUUUUUUAUAUAUAUAUAUAUAUAUAUAUAUAUAUAUGUAUAUAUAUAUAUUUUUUUUUAAUUGGGGUAGCCCCCCAAAUAUGGGGACAUAUAAAAAAAGACAACUCUGUUCCGCAGAGUAGCUGUUGACAUUAUAGUUGAGCAGGCACUUUGUUGACUCUAGAGAACCUCGAGCCAAUCACACAUCCCCGUGACGGCGACUUUGCAUUCGGAUGUCAUCCAUAUCAACUUUCGAUGCCAGCUUCUGCACCUACCAUGGGGACCACAGGUAACGGGGAAUCAGGGUUCCAUUCCAUACAAGGACCCUGAGAAAUGGCUACCACAUGCAAGGAAGGCAGCAGGCGCGCAAAUGACCCACUCCUGACGCGGGAAGGUAGUGAC
rnacentral:rRNA from 1 species